rnacentral:rRNA from 1 species
GACGAACCGUGCGAACGUUGUUCGGAUUCACUGGGCUUAAAGGGCGCGUAGGCGGGCGGUCAAGUCGGGGGUGAAAUCUUUCCGCUUAACGGGAAGCGUGCCUCCGAUACUGAUCGCCUCGAGGGAGGUAGGGGCAUGUGGAACUUCCGGUGGAGCGGUGAAAUGCGUAGAUAUCGGAAGGAACGCCGGUGGCGAAAGCGACGUGCUGGACCUCUUCUGACGCUGAGGCGCGAAAGCUAGGGGAGCAAGCGGG